rnacentral:lncRNA from 1 species
CAUCCAAGAAGUCGGCACACAUUGAUCGAAGAAGUUCGAUCAACAUCUGCCAUCAAAAGGGUGAAAUCACGAACUAGCAUUCGUGAGGAGCUGAUCAGACGGGAGCUUCGUGUGGACGAUCCGCAGAGGCCAGAUAUUUGUGUGGCUGUGAUGUGAUGAUCAGAGCCCUCCGACGGUGAUCAGAUUGCGGUGAUCGACUAUCCGCAAAAGGUGAUGUGUUCUGAACACAGUACUGUAAAAGGUUUACUGAUUCAAAUUUGAAUUUCAAAUUUAAAUACAUGCU